CGUAACAAGGUUUCCGUAGGUGAACCUUCGGAAGGAUCAUUACUGUUGAAACGUCUCGGCCAGUCGUGUCCCGCAUUGGGGCCUUCUGCGCCAGCGUUUAGCACCCUUGAUUUUGAGCACCUUUUGUUUCCUCGGCGGGUUCGCCCGCCAGCGAGGACCCCCAUGAACUCUUUGUAAUAGCAAUUUUUGUCUGAAAUACAAACAAUAAUCAAAACUUUCAACAAUGGAUCUCUUGGUUCUGGCAUCGAUGAAGAACGCAGCGAAAUGCGAUAAGUAGUGUGAAUUGCAGAAUUCAGUGAAUCAUCGAAUCUUUGAACGCACAUUGCGCCCCUCGGUAUUCCGUGGGGCAUGCCUGUUCGAGCGUCAUUUAAACCCUCAAGCUCAGCUUGGUGUUGGGUGCUUGUCCCGCCUCCGCGCGGCGACUCACCUCAAAGCCAGUGGCAGCCCGCAUCAGCCGGCCGUGAGCGCAGCACAGUCGCGCCCUAGGCCCCGGCAGGUCGGCUCUCCAGAAGCACAUCUUCUUAUUUUGACCUCGGAUCAGGUAGGGAUACCCGCUGAACUUAAGCAUAUCAAUAA
rnacentral:misc_RNA from 1 species